AGUAACGCGUAUCCAACCUGGCUUCAAGCAGGGAACAGGCUUUCGAAAGAAAGAUUAAUACCCUAUGUGGUCCUCGGAAGACAUCAGAGGAGGACGAAAGAUUCAUCGCUUGAAGAUGGGGAUGCGUCUGAUUAGGCAGUUGGCGGGACAAGGGCCCACCAAACCGACGAUCAGUAGGGGUUCUGAGAGGAAGGUCCCCCACAUUGGAACUGAGACACGGUCCAAACUCCUACGGGAGGCAGCAGUGAGGAAUAUUGGUCAAUGGGCGGAAGCCUGAACCAGCCAAGUAGCGUGCAGGAUGUCGGCCCUAUGGGUUGUAAACUGCUUUUGAAGGGGAGUAAAGUGAGUGACUUGUCAUUCAUUGCAAGUACCCUUGGAAUAAGGACCGGCUAAUUCCGUGCCAGCAGCCGCGGUAAUACGGAAGGUCCGGGCGUUAUCCGGAUUUAUUGGGUUUAAAGGGAGCGUAGGCUGCCCGGCAAGCGUGCUGUGAAAUACAGUGGCCCAACCACUGGACUGCAGCGCGAACUGUCGGGCUUGAGGGCGCACGACGCAGGCGGAAUUUGUGGUGUAGCGGUGAAAUGCUUAGAUAUCACGAAGAACCCCGAUUGCGAAGGCAGCUUGCGGGAGCGCGACUGACGCUGAAGCUCGAAAGUGCGGGUAUCAAACAGGAUUAGAUACCCUGGUAGUCCAUGCCGUAAACGAUGAGCGCUAGGU
rnacentral:rRNA from 1 species